AGUGAACGCUGGCGGUAGGCCUAACACAUGCAAGUCGAACGGCAGCACAGUAAGAGCUUGCUCUUACGGGUGGCGAAUGGCGGACGGGUGAGGAAUACAUCGGAAUCUACUUUUUCGUGGGGGAUAACGUAGGGAAACUUACGCUAAUACCGCAUACGACCUACGGGUGAAAGCAGGGGAUCUUCGGACCUUGCGCGAUUGAAUGAGCCGAUGUCGGAUUAGCUAGUUGGCGGGGUAAAGGCCCACCAAGGCGACGAUCCGUAGCUGGUCUGAGAGGAUGAUCAGCCACACUGGAACUGAGACACGGUCCAGACUCCUACGGGAGGCAGCAGUGGGGAAUAUUGGACAAUGGGCGCAGGCCUGAUCCAGCCAUACCGCGUGGGUGAAGAAGGCCUUCGGGUUGUAAAGCCCUUUUGUUGGGAAAGAAAAGCAGCAGGUUAAUACCCCGCUGUUCUGACGGUACCCAAAGAAUAAGCACCGGCUAACUUCGUG
rnacentral:rRNA from 1 species